UGUGUGUGUGUGUGUGUGUGUGUGUGUGUUUUCAGAAUUUUCAGAACAAAAAUAGGUUUAAUCACUAUACUUGUGUAAACGACAAAAAAAAUAACACAAAUAAUAUUAAAAUACACUUCAUGCGUCUUUCUCCCAUCGACGAUUGAACUAAAAACGCAUUUGGAGAUUAUUUAUGGCACUUUGAAUACACACUUCAUUUCCAUUCCGAAGCACCUCACGUUUUGUUUGGCCUAACCACGUUCGGUUACUUCAUUAACGCAGCCAGCGACCGAGAACCGUAAUUCUUUUAGAAACUAUUGUAAAUGAAAACUGCCCUGAACACUGUACAAAGAGAAAACAGAGUAAGGAAAAAAAAAGCAGUAAGGUGGUGGGUGGAGUGAUAGACGAAAAAAAAUGAAAACACUUCCUCCACCCCUCCCUCACUAUCCUCAGAUGAACUUGUCACGUUACUUGAUGAUUUUUUUUUCUGGCCUGCCCUCUCUACUUCCUGCUAUUUUUGUGCUGCCUCCCUCUCUCCCUCUUUCUUUCUGUGUGUCGGUGUGGUAACCAGGAACAAAGUCACAGACCCUUUAUGGAGAAAAAUAUUUUGGUAAUCACCUGCAAUUAUGAAGCAAUAACACCACAAACAGCAUCACAUUAUGAAGAAAAAGAGCCUUGUGGAUAGCAGCCGAACCCUGGGACAUCCAGCUGUAAUUACGACUGCCUGACACUAACCAGAGCAGAUUUGAUGAAGAAACGUUUUGCUUCUGUCCCUAAAGCUGAGAUUAACCGGCCGUCUUCUGAAGACACUUUGUGCUCCUCUGCGUCCUGAAGCUGUGCUCCUGUCAAGCUGGAGAUCUGUGUCUCCACGAGCUGAGGUAGUAGGUUGUAUAGUUUGUGGGAAGGAUCUCAUCCUAUUCAGGUGAUAACUAUACAGUCUAUUGCCUUCCUCGAGAGACACGACGAACGAGAGAGAAAACAAAUCAUUUCAACAACGAGAUUGUUAAAGUGUCAUACUGUUUUUCUUAUAGUUGUUAUCAUGCUCUGUUUAUUCUGCAGGGUUACUUUCAUUUUUUAUU